rnacentral:rRNA from 1 species
UAGGGAAUCUUCGGCAAUGGACGGAAGUCUGACCGAGCAACGCCGCGUGAGUGAAGAAGGUUUUCGGACCGUAAAGCUCUGUUGUUAGAGAAGAACGUUGGUAGGAGUGGAAAAUCUACCAAGUGACGGUAACUAACCAGAAAGGGACGGCUAACUACGUGCCAGCAGCCGCGGUAAAACGUAGGUCCCGAGCGUUGUUCGGAUUUAUUGGGCGUAAAGCGAUCGCAGGCGGUUCUUUAAGUCUGAAGUUAAAGGCAGUGGCUUAACCAUUGUACGCUUUGGAAACUGGAGGACUUGAGUGCAGAAGGGGGGAGUGGAAUUGCAUGUGUAGCGGUGAAAUGCGUAGAUAUAUGGAGGAACACCGGUGGCGAAAGCGGCUCUCUGGUCUGUAAAUGACGCAGAGGCUCGAAAGCGUGGGGAGCAAACAGG